rnacentral:rRNA from 1 species
GCCUACGGGGCGCAGCAGUAGGGAAUUUUCGUCAAUGGGCGCAAGCCUGAACGAGCAAUGCCGCGUGAACGAGGAAGGUCUUCGGAUCGUAAAGUUCUGUUGAAGGGGAAAAAGAGCGGAGAGAGGAAAUGGUCUCCGAUUGAUAUUACCCUUCGAGGAAGUCACGGCUAACUACGUGCCAGCAGCCGCGGUAAUACGUAGGUGGCGAGCGUUAUCCGGAAUGAUUGGGCGUAAAGGGUGCGUAGGCGGCCUGCUAAGUCUGGAGUGAAAGGCACCGGCUCAACCGGUAAAGGCACUGGAAACUG